rnacentral:lncRNA from 10 species
AAGAAAACUCUUACUACAAACCUUUCCAUAUUAUGAGAAAACAUCUUGUCCUUUUAAAAUAAAUAGAAACUCAAGAUACAGAUUGGGAUGAGACUCACUUUGGAAAAAUGGGAAGUUACUAUAUCAACCGUACAUUUUUCUUUGAUGUGCACCCGCCCCUGGGAAAGAUGCUGAUAGGUCUUGCUGGCUACCUGAGUGGAUAUGAUGGUACCUUUUUGUUCCAGAAGCCUGGGGAUAAAUAUGAGCAUCACAGCUACAUGGGAAUGAGAGGAGUAAGGCUUCCUGACUUGAAAUGGACUGACUGAACCCUGGGGCCACACUAAACCAGAAAUGUUAUAGUUAGCAGCCCUGGCGUGGUGGCAGUUCUGUGCAUUCCUUGGCUCCUGGCUGGUCCCCUUUGCCUACCUCACUGUACUGGAUCUGUCCAAGUCCCUCUCGGCAGCACUGCUCACAGCUGCCCUCCUCACCUU